rnacentral:rRNA from 1 species
GUGUCAGCAGCCGCGGUAAGACGAGCCUCACAAACGUUAUUCGGAAUUACUGGGCUUAAAGGGUGCGUAGGCGGCGUAGAAAGUUGGGUGUGAAAUCCCUCAGCUUAACUGAGGAAGGGCGCCCAAAACUACUAUGCUCGAGGGAGAUAGAGGAGUGCGGAACUUAGGGUGGAGCGGUGAAAUGCGUUGAUAUCCUAGGGAACACCGGUGGCGAAAGCGGCACUCUGGAUCUCUUCUGACGCUGAGGCACGAAAGCUAGGGUAGCAAACGGGAUUAGAUACCCCCGUAGUCC